rnacentral:rRNA from 1 species
CCUACGGGUGGCAGCAGUGGGGAAUAUUGGACAAUGGGCGAAAGCCUGAUCCAGCCAUGCCGCGUGUGUGAAGAAGGCCUUCGGGUUGUAAAGCACUUUCAGUGGGGAAGAAAGCCUUGGGGCUAAUACCCUCGAGGAAGGACAUCACCCACAGAAGAAGCACCGGCUAACUCCGUGCCAGCAGCCGCGGUAAUACGGAGGGUGCGAGCGUUAAUCGGAAUUACUGGGCGUAAAGCGCGCGUAGGCGGUCUGAUAAGCCGGUUGUGAAAGCCCCGGGCUCAACCUGGGAACGGCAUCCGGAACUGUCAGGCUAGAGUGCAGGAGAGGAAGGUAGAAUUCCCGGUGUAGCGGUGAAAUGCGUAGAGAUCGGGAGGAAUACCAGUGGCGAAGGCGGCCUUCUGGACUGACACUGACGCUGAGGUGCGAAAGCGUGGGUAGCAAACAGGAUUACAUACCCUUGUAGUC